GACGAAGGGGGCUAGCGUUGUUCGGAAUUACUGGGCGAAAGCGCGUGUAGGCGGUUGUCAAGUCAGGUGUGAAAGCCUUGAGCUCAACUCAAGAAAUGCACUUGAUACUGGAUGACUAGAGGACCGGAGAGGAUAGUGGAAUUCCAGUGUAGUGGUGAAAUACGUAAGAGAUUGGGAAGAACACCAGUGGUCGAAAGGCGGCUACUCUGGGACGGUUUC
rnacentral:rRNA from 1 species